rnacentral:lncRNA from 13 species
UUUUUUUUUCUUAUUAUUUUUUAUUUUUAUUUUAUUUUAUAUAUUUAUUUAUUUUUAGACGUAGUCUUGCCGUCACCCAGCUUGAAGUGCAGUGGCGUGAUCUCGGAUGACUGCAACCUCCGUCUCCCAGGUUUCUUGCCCCCACCCUCGCCCCAGGCUUCCUGCUGCCCUGAGAAAAGCCCGCCAAGCCUGCUCUGUUCGGCCCAGCAACAACAAGCAGCCAAUCAUCGCAGCAGGAAAGCCCGCCAAGCCUGGGCCUAUCCUGAACCGACAGCUUUCUGGUGAUAUAAUGAAGCACAUCUGGCUGGGAGCAGUGGCUCGUACCUGUAAUCCCAGCACUUUUGAAGCCUGAGGUGAGUGGAUAACUUGAGGUUAGGAGUUUGAGAUCAGCCUGGCCAACAUGGCGAAACCCUGUCUCUACUAAAAAUAUAAAAAUUAGCUGGGUGGUGCAUGCCUGUAAUUCUAGCUACUCAGGAGGCUGAGGCGGGAGAAUCACUCCCAUGCCUGAGAGGCGGAGGUUGCAGUGAGCCGAGAUUGCCCCACUGCACGCCAGCAUGGGUGACAAAGCGAGACUCUGUCUCUAAAAAAAAAUGAUGAAGUAUAUCUAAAAUAUGUUUUUAACUUUUAGGUGGCACAAAGAUUACUUAGGGAGAGUCUGACUCAGCAGAUAAAGGGUGCGGUUCAGGAACCUAUGUCACUCAAAAGCCCCCAGUUCAUUCUGAUGCUCAUGGACCAUAGAUAACAAUUUGAGACACAUUGAUUUAGAGGAGUAAUUGGCAGUUUUCUAUAUAUAUGACUUAUCACAACUGAGACUUAUGUAAGAAUAGCUAGUAUUUAUGAUUCUGCUAUUUUCCAAAAAUCUGGAUUGCUGAAAUAAAACUUCACUAAUUCAAGUGGCA